UGAAUUGGUGUUUUGGUUUUUGUGUGCA
rnacentral:piRNA from 1 species